UGAAAAACGAAAGUGAAAUUGUCAGCGACGCCAUUUGGUGCAUUAAGAUUCUCCUGCUGAACGUCUCCACAGGUCAAACUCUGACAUGUGGUCCAUACGAGUAUGAGACACCUGGUGGAUGCUGUGCUGUGUGUCCACAUGGAAGCUGAAAACACUUUUCUCUGGGAGUGUGUUACCUGUCCUGGUUUGGAGUUACAUUUCUCUUGGUCUUAAAUCUGCGUUGGUUCAAACAGAUGAGGAAUCUGUGCUGGUCUUCUGUUACAGAGAGAAUGAGACCUGGAUCAGCUGCAGUGUUUCUGAGUCUCCUGAUGAACGUCUCCACAGGUCAAACUCUGACAUGUCCUCAAAAACAGUAUCAGAUAAAUGAUAGAUGCUGUCCUAUGUGUCCAGCUGGAGGUCGAGUUUAUGCAGACUGCACAGAGUCCAGAAGUACUGACUGUAAGCCCUGCCCUGAAGGAACCUUUAUGGACCAUCCGACUUCUCGUCCAGUCUGCUACAACUGUAAAAGCUGUGAUGAAGGUUCUGGUCUGAAGAUGAAGACGUCGUGUACGAUAGUAUCAGACACAGUUUGUGAACCUCUGGAAGGAUUUUACUGCUCAGACUCUAGAAAGGACGACUGUGUGGAAGCAAGGAAACACAGACGCUGUAAACCAGGAGAAUACAUCAGAGAACACGGAACUUCCUCCACAGACACCGUCUGCUCGAUCUGCUCUGAUGGAACAUUUUCAAACGGGACGUUUCCAUCUUGUCAGAAACACACACAAUGUGAAUCAAAGGGUCGAGAGCUGCUGAGACCAGGAACUGAGACAGAGGACGCUCAGUGUGGAGGACUACUGUUACACAGGACUGUACUGAUUAACUCGUUGUUGUUGUUGUGUUGUCUUUAUUCUCUGUACUUUUAGUUUGUUAUCUCGCAUGGUGGAUAAUAAGACUUCUAAUCUCAGAAGUCAUAGCAGCAGUACUCUACUACCAGGAGGGUAUGAAUUCAGGACAGUCAUCUCAGCAGAGUCUGAUGUCAGAUGACUCCAAAGAGUCGAAGGAUGAGACGGUUCAGGAUCCUGUUCUGGUCCAGCUGCUGGAUCCUGACAAACUUUGUUAAUAUCUGUUUAUAUGUAUAUAUGUGUUUAUAUUGAUAUUUAUAUCUAUUUUUUUAUCUGGUCUCGUUUGGUUUUUCUGAGACGAUGAUUGGACACAAACACUUUCAACAGCGUUCCAUCGGCUCUCUCACCAUCAAGUUUCUCUUGCAUUUCUUGUUACUAUUGUAAAAAGGAAUAAAUAAAAAGAUUUGACUUAA